rnacentral:rRNA from 1 species
CGCGUGUCGGAAGGGCUCCCGCGUACGGGGCCKUCCGACCGCGUGCCUCUCCGUCCCGCCAGACGCAUUUGUCUCCCGCCCAGAGGACGCCGCAGCCGGUCGGGCAGCGCAAGCGCGACGGCCUGAGGGGCGGACGACGGCAGGUGGCCGGUGGCUCGCCUUCGUGCGGGUCGCCGGUUGUUAGCCGGUCCGUCAGUGGCACGUCGCUCGACCGAGGUAUCACGAGGCCCUCCGGGGCUCUCGCGCCUUCUCCCCCUUAAAGGGAUGCGGGACAGAACGUCGCAAGCGAAGGCUGCCGGUCCGUCGCACUCCUCGACGAGUGGACGGCCGAACAUCCGGCGCCGUUGGUGACGUCGGGCCCGUGGGAGGCUGGAGGCUGGCGGCGAGUAGGUCGGUCACCCACCCGACCCGUCUUGAAACACGGACCAAGGAGUCUAACAUGUGCGCGAGUCAAUGGGUCUUGAACAGGCCCAGGGGCGCAAUGAAAGCAAAGGUCGGCUCCCGCCGACCGAGUUGGGAUCCCCUCCCCAGCGGGAGGCGGCGCACCAACGACCCGUCCUAUCCGGCUCGCCGGUUGGGCGGAGUGUGAGCGUACACGUUGGGACCCGAAAGAUGGUGAACUAUGCCCGGACAGGACGAAGCCAGAG